rnacentral:tRNA from 1 species
GGAGUUGUGGCUCCGUGGUAGAACUUCCACUUGGCAAGCAGAAGGUUCGGGGUUCAGUUCCCAGCAUCUGCA